rnacentral:rRNA from 1 species
GAUGAACGCUGGCGGCAUGCCUAAUACAUGCAAGUCGAACGGAAGCAGCAAUGCUUUAGUGGCGAACGGGUGAGUAACACGUAGGGAACCUACCUAUACGACGAGGAUAACUACUGGAAACGGUAGCUAAAACUGGAUAGGAUCAAUUGAGGCAUCUUGAUUGAUUUAAAGAUCCUUCGGGAUUACGUAGAGAUGGCCCUGCGGCGCAUUAGCUAGUUGGUGAGGUAACGGCCCACCAAGGCGACGAUGCGUAGCUGAGCUGAGAGGCUAAACAGCCACACUGGGACUGAGACACGGCCCAGACUCCUACGGGAGGCAGCAGUAGGGAAUUUUCGGCAAUGGGGGAAACCCUGACCGAGCAAUGCCGCGUGAACGAUGAAGGUCUUCGGAUUGUAAAGUUCUGUGAUUGGGGAAGAAUGGUAUUCUUAGGGAAUGAGGAGUACAUGACGGUACCCGAUUAGAAAGCCCCGGCUAACUAUGUGCCAGCAGCCGCGGUAAA